rnacentral:rRNA from 1 species
GACGAACGCUGGCGGCGUGCUUAACACAUGCAAGUCGAACGGAAAGGCCCUGCUUUUGUGGGGUGCUCGAGUGGCGAACGGGUGAGUAACACGUGAGUAACCUGCCCUUGACUUUGGGAUAACUUCAGGAAACUGGGGCUAAUACCGGACAGGAGAUCCUGCUGCAUGGUGGGGGGUGGAAAGUUGCGGCGGUUGGGGAUGGACUCGCGGCUUAUCAGUUUGUUGGUGGGGUAGUGGCUUACCAAGGCUUUGACGGGUAGCCGGCCUGCGAGGGUGACCGGCCACAUUGGGACUGAGAGACGGCCCAGAGUCCUACGGGAGGCAGCAGUGGGAAACAUUGCACAAUGGGCGGAAGCCUGAUACAGCGACGCCGCGUGCGUGAUGACGGUCUGCGGGUAAUAAACCGCUUUCGCCUGUGACGAAGCGUGAGUGACGGUAAUGAGUAAAGAAGCACCGGCUAACUACGUG